UCGGGUUUCUGAACCCUGGGCAAGCCACAUG
rnacentral:piRNA from 1 species